CGUCAAAUCAUCAUGCCCCUUAUGUCUUGGGCGACACACGUGCUACAAUGGCUGUAACAAAGCGAAGCGAAGCGGCGACGCGGAGCAAAGCGCAAAAAAGCAGUCUCAGUUCGGAUUGCAGUCUGCAACUCGACUGCAUGAAGCUGGAAUCGCUAGUAAUCGCGAAUCAGCAUGUCGCGGUGAAUACGUUCCCGGGCCUU
rnacentral:rRNA from 1 species